UGAGGUUGAGAAUGUACCUGCUGACAACAGGUGAGGUUGAGAAUGUACCUGCGUACGCUGAGAACAGGUGAGAACAGGUGAGGUUGAGAAUGUACCUGCGUACGCUGAGAACAGGUGAGGUUGAGAAUGUACCU